UCGUCAAACCGUCCUAAGAUUUCACCCAAAAUGAAAUCAAUUCUUCAUCCAAAUCCAAUUCCAAUUCCAAUUCAUCUUCAUCAUUCACGGAAACAAUAUCCAUUCUCUUCCAACAAUUAUCUCUCAUCUUUCAACUAUAAACACACUGAUCUUGUUUUUUUAAUUAAAAAACUGAUACAAGAAAAUUUUAGUUUUGAUUAUGAUGAUUUUUCCCUUCUCAAAUCGAUUAGGCGUCACCUACAAAGGAAUCUGAUGACUCGAUCUCCGGCAACAAAAAAUCAGAUCGGGUAAAAAAUGGGAGGAACUGCAAGAUCCGCAGCAACUCAGUCACAUCCAUGGAACUGGGUAUCGGAGAUUAGACAAAAAAAAUCAAUAAAUCACAGAUUAAAGUCCCAAAAAAACCUAGGUCUCAACAUCAAAUAUCUUAAUACCACCCAUCUAUCGACCCCACAUCUGAAAUUCACCGACAAUCAACUCUCCAACUCGAGCUUGAAGUGCAUCAAUGGCGGCGAGAGGUGAUGCAUAGCGAGAGGAGAAAUAGGAUGAGAACGAUGAUUGCUCCGACGAAUAUUCCGAUCACCACCCCUAGUUUGAGGCCAAAGAUUGAUGUUUGCUUCGAGAGCUCAUUGUUCACUAAUGAGGCGUUGUAUACUGUCAUUUUAGGGAGAGAAAAUAGACAGAAAAACUGAAAAACCGAAAAACAUAUAUAUAAAAAAAUUCAGUUUCAGCAAAAUUGGAUGAAACUGGAAUAAAUUGAGCUAAAUGGCAUUGUUUUUCGCCGAAAAUUGGGAUUUCUCAGGCGAGAAUUAGUUGUUUUUAUUUAAUUUUAAUGUUUAAUAUAAAGUGA
rnacentral:lncRNA from 1 species